GCAGUCACCACCAUUCUUUCUCAUGAGGAAUCCUGGCAAACUGGUGCAGGUACAUUUUAAAUCAAAACUUCAAGCCAGCCAGGUCCUGUGGCUGACAGGCAAUCCUUUUGCCUUUCUGUUUGGUUCUCCUGCAUUAGCUAUUGUUAUGUUCUGAGGCUUUAUCUUUUUUUAAGCUGCUGUUGUGAGUGGAUUGCACUCUGUGUGGGACAUGUUCCUAGGGCUCAGUCUAGACCCUUGCAGGGAAGCCACCAUUUCAUGUGAUGUUGGUAGCAGUCCCAGCACCACAGCAGAGACUGCAUGGAGAUCCUGGGGGCAGUUUUAAGACAAAUUGGAUGUGUAGCAUGAAAGCACUCUUUUCAGCCACAUACUCUGAGUUGUGGAUUUUUGAAUUUAUGAAGUUUCAGCUCCAAGACUAGCAAUAUUGAUUCCUUUACAGGCUGAGUGGGUGUCCACUGCCCUGAAAUGGAUCCAGGCAUUUAUUCCAAUUUAAGUAACGCAGGGCGAGGCCACUCCACAUUUUGUUGUGUCUUUUAAUGAAGGAGGUUGUUUCAGAAGAAGCCGCUGUGUAGAGCAUCAGUCUGAAAAAUAAGCUGAUGGCGUGGGGAAGACUGAAAAGCCUUCCUAGUACCCAGGUACCAGUUCUUACAUCUGAUAGCCCAGCAUGUGCACCAGCAGUGUUCACCCACAAGUUGAGGACAUGCUCACUUCAUUUUGCAGAGGUGACCUACAUCAGGAGCGUCAGGGCAUCAGGUGCCAGUGCCAGACAACGGAAGUGCAGAUAUAAAUCCAUUCUGCAUGAACCACGCCGUCACAAGAUGGCACGGGCAACACACUGUGGAUGGAAGGUGCCUUCUUUUAGUCUACCCCUUUUUAUGAUAAACAAAAUACUUGGUGAAUCUCAGCUUUGCUGCAUGCUCUGUGCAGGAGACACUGAGAUACACAGUGAACCCCCCCCAUGGACUUGAUAGCAUUUUAAAAAUGCAUUGCCCAACCUGUAGGUUGGUAUUACUGUGCAUAGACCCAGACGGUACAAGCCGCCCAUGUGUCACUGUGCAUAUUCUUUAGAUGGAGCUCUGAAAGCAAAACAAAAUCCCAUGCUCUCUCUGUCAGAGUUAUUGGUAAGGCAGUAGAUGUAAAUAGAGAUUAUGAAGACAGGAAGGGUUCUGGUGGAUCUUGGGGCACUUCUUAACCUUUUUAACCUUAGCCAAAUAUACCCUCACUUGACAGAACCAACUUCAUCCACUCUGCUCAGGGCAGGUUUAGAAGUUUCCGUGGCAGUGCAAAGUAGGAUGUAACUAACCAAUGGGGGAAAUAGCAAACUGUGUGUACAGAAAGUUGGAAAUGCCUGAAUUGGGCUGUUCUGUGCAACCUCGACUUCGGUGUUCCUUCUUAUUGUCUUGUCAGUGUUCUGAACGUCUAUCAUGAUACUGUAGUCU
rnacentral:lncRNA from 7 species